rnacentral:rRNA from 1 species
GUUGAACGCUGGCGGCAUGCUUUACACAUGCAAGUCGGACGGGAAGUGGUGUUUCCAGUGGCGGACGGGUGACUAACGCGUAAGAACCUGCUCUUGGGCGGCGAACAACUGCUGGAAACGGCUGCUAAUACCCCGUAGGCUGAGGAGCGAAAGGAGGAAUCCGCCCAAGGAGGCGCUAGCGUCGGAUUAGAUAGUUGGUGCGGUAAUAGCUUACCAAGGCCGUGAUCAAUAGCUGACCCGAGAGGAUGAUCAGUCACACUGGAACUGAGAGACGGCCCAGACUGCGACGGGGGGCAGGAGCAGGGAACUUUGGGAGACAGGCGAAAGGAAGAUUCCGCAAUGCCGGGUGUGCUGACAAAGUAUUGGGACGGGAAAGUAAAAUGCGUAGGGAUGAAGAACUGCAUGUCCAUGAGAAGAAACAUUGACGGUAUCUGGAGAAUAAGCAUCGGCUAACUCUGUG